AGCCGGUGAGGUGAUCAAAAUAUUUGCUACUCUUGAUGGGUGCGCCCCAUUUGAUGAUCCUAAACCACCAAGAUCUCUGAUGUC